rnacentral:lncRNA from 1 species
CCAAAUUUAAAACUAAUUGUAAGAGUGAAUUUUAGACUUACAAUCAGUACAAUAGAUCGCGCGGUAUUCGGAAGUAGUGCGCGCGACAGCCGGAAGAGUACGCUAUUAGGCGCGGAAAGUUUUGGUGAGGCGGUUUGAAAUGGAAAUAUUUUGCAAUUCAUCGUGUACAUUAUCCUUAUUAAGAGUGUGUAAUGAGUGCAAAUUUUUGUCGGGAGUGCCGAUUAAAAUGACGGGCGAUUAUCGAAAUGUAUUAUUCAUCGCAGAUGUCUACGAUUAAUGGCGUUUUGUGGAUCAACACUGGUAUAAUAUGGUUUCAGUUUACGUAUUAUGUACGGCAUGAAAUUCGCGAUAUAAAUUCGUGGCGCAAAUGAAAUAAUCGGAUAACCUAAUUUAGUAGUGUGUCUGUAAGUGCUGGUUUUUGAUAUUUAUUGAUUCUUCAAUGGAGCUGAUGCGGAACAUUGAUGAUCUAAGGCGGAAUUUACAACGGAUGCAACAAAUAUAUUAAUACUCUCUAGCUGAUACAGUUGACGGCAUAUUUAGCUAGGGUACAACGAGAUAAACUUUGUGCGCGUAAUCAGUGCUACGAAAUAUAUUCGUUCCGUUGUGAUAUAACAAAAUGCGCGUCGGGAGUGCCGUUAAUACCGGGAGUGCCGUAAUAGUUUCGCACGAUUUUCGCAUUCGAGUACGCGCGCGAGCAAUGCGUGCG